CGGCUGUGUCUGGUGUGACAUCAGUUCACUCUUAAAGCCCCACAUGUUAUCUGGGCGCCUUAUUCAGCUCAUCGAAAAAAGAAAAAAAUAUAUAAUCGGACCAGCAACAACCCAGGGUGGGAAACGAAGACCCAUAAAUCAACACUGUUUGAGUUUUUGGGACCACAACAAGUGUGUAGGCCUACACACUAAUAACAUUUCUCUAAGUUAUUUUUGCCGGACCGAGUAAGUGGAGCCAGCCAAGAAGAGCGAAUGUCUCUUACUGAAGAGUCGUGAAACUUACCAGAGACAGGUGCUGUCCAUCUUCAGCAUCGCUUCAGGGAUCUGUUUCCUCGGAGUGGCAUGCAUUGCUCUCUAUCGCCAUAACAUGAGACACAGGGAAAAGCUCUGGGAGCACUUCUCUGAAAGCCGGAACCUGAGGGACUGCAGUAUCAACGCCUCUGGGCUCAUGUCUAAAUCCAGCCCCAGGUCUCAUUGCGCUCAGCAGCUUCAGAAGUGCUGCAAAUCUCCUCAAGGGGGCAGCAGUCUGACAGCUGACACACCCACAGCAACUCCUACUGUCACUAGAACACUCCCCAAAGGCAAACGUUUCAGGAGUAGCUCCCUGUCCAUCAGUCCAGCCCAAAGACACCCAGACACUCAUCACUUCAAGACCCCACCAAUCUCUCGAGGACCAAGGGCUGCGGGUCCUGUCUAUAGGCAUCUGCAGGAGGUGGAUUCUACUGAGACUGAGGCAGAGUCUUUAAAACGAUGCAGAUGGAAAAACAGAAGCAGAGAGACGAAGCUAAGAUGCAGUGAUUCAUGUGCUGAAGUGAGCCAACGAGACACUGAGGCUUGAAAAUAGGAGGGACAGAGCAGAUGACCGCCAUCGCAGUGGCUUCCUGAAUAUGCAAACCCGGUCUCGUGCACCUGAGAAGAAGCAAUGGAGGGAGGUGCCGUGCACUCGCUUGGACAGAAGACUAACACCUUCUCCUCCCUCUCUCCGCACACACUCCGUUCCCAUCAUCCCCUCUCUGCAGGGAAAUGAAUGCGAGUGGGCUCGUGUGGACAGGCGCAGCCGGGGUGACUUGCAGGGAAGUGGUCUAGCCGGGUCAGGCUUCUCUUCAAUCUUAUCCUCUGAGGCUGUACUUGAAUCUGAGGCCAGACCCAGUUACAUAUGUCCCCGCAGUGCUAAGACUGCUCUGGGAUUGCAAACAUACCACAUGCAACCACAUACCUUUGAAACUCCAAAAGGAUCAGAGCGCAUGCUCCAACACUCAAGCCUUGCGGCCUCUGGGACAGCAUCAUCCGGAUCCAGGUUGAAUAGCACAAACACUGGUAUUUCUGUGACUGUGCUUAAGUCAGAGGGUAAAAGCAUGCAGUAUACACCCAGACUGCUCUACAGCUCUUCCGGAGGCAGGGGUCCUCAGGCAGCAGAGCAAAGACAGACCCAUGAGCUUGGUAAACAUGUCCCCCUGCUGAUUGAUGGAGAAGCAACCUGUUUCCUUUCAGCAGCGAUGGGCAGAGGCGCUGGAAUUACUUGUGCCAAAACUUCUGACAGCUGAUUUGAUUAUUUCUCACUAACCUGCAAGUCAAGACUCCGCCUACCGGCAUCGAUGACACGGGUUGGGGGUUGGACCACCUGCCUAACUAAUUGGACCAAUCCCAUAUGGUCUGUGGUUUCUGUAAAUGAGCCACAGCAUUCUGGAUUAAAGAGAGGAAUUUAUUGACACAUUAAAGACACUGAAUUAUUAAGAAAACACACACACACACACAGUUUAUGUGAAUAAUGUGAAACAAUGUAGACAGACAUAAAGACUGGGGAGGGAGCUUGAUUUAAAAGUGUAUUGAAAAAGCUUUAUUUAAACAAAGCUUCUACUUAGAAACCAAAAUAGUGUGUCAUCUCUAUGUUGUUUCUCUAUUGUAAAGAACUCAAAUUAUAUAUGUCAUAUAUAUGUCGUAUAGACGUAUAUAUAUUUGACAUGACGUGACAAAAUAAAGACAAAGACUACCGAGGUAGUGUGGUUGAUUGAAUUACUUAUAUCUCCCCACUGCUUCUUUGUUGUCUGUCUUUCAAAUCACUGCAUCUUUGUUGUCUGUCUUUUGAAGGUACAGCAGAGUAAAUUGUAUUUGAAAAUAUGUUUAUCCUAUUCGGAACUAUGUCAACAGGUGUUAAAGGAGGAUUCUAAAUACUCUGAUUUUCUUCCAUAAAAAUUAUAAUCAAGUCACACCCAGUGCUGCCCAGACACCUAAUGCCAUAGUUUUUUGCGAACGUUGAGAGAUUUCAGAAUGUACACAGCAAAAGACAGAUUGUUAGAGUCUCUGUCUCUGUCUCCAUGGCAACAGCAGCCCCAUUGAGCAUGACAAUGACACUUCCUUCCCCAGUCAAAGUAAAGUCCUCUAUUAAAUAAGGAGCAUCAUACAGAUUUUAUCAUUUAUUUGUUUCUCUUUCCCAAAACAGCCAUUUUAAUUAAAGCGCCAUGUCUCAUUAUUUGGCAUCAGCUCUUUUCAUAAACUCCAGCAAAGGAAAGCAGAAAAGUUUUUAACUAGCCAAUCUUCAGGUGAGAAUUUUUCUCAGAGGGAAUUCAUCAGGGAAAAGAUUAAAGCGGCAGCACCAGGGUUUGUCUCUGGUCCUGUUCACAAUAAAGACCAGCAACACAAAGGAAACAAUUUAUAUUUUCCUGCAAAUUAGUA
ensembl:lncRNA